ensembl:lncRNA
UUUCAUGUGUCCAGCCUACUAUCUACACGGAUUUCAGAGCACUCUCAUCUGAGUGUACCAGAGCACAGAAUAAUUACUUUACGAGCGCUCAACACCCGUUGAAUAUGGCCGGUGUCAGUAAACGUCUGAAAAAAAGCAUAAUUAAAUUGUUUCCAGCAGCAUAUUUACAGUCACCAACGCUCUGGUUAACACAAACUGCCUUAUCAGCUCUGCUAGGAGCAUACAGGCUGGCUGCUUAUCGCCAGUUCACUGUAGAGGCACAAGGGAGAACUGGACGAUGUGUCAUCCCUGCGUGUGUCGUCUCAUCCAUAAGGCACGCAUACCCAGAAGCAAUUGGCAUUUACGCUCGGGAGGCGAAGGUUGAGUCAUGCGUCCUCCCAAACCACGGAUUUCGGGAGGCGAAGGUUGAGUCAUGCGUCCCCCGAAACAUGACCCGCCAAACCACGCAUCUUAGCACCCGCCUCCUUAACACGGAAGCCAGUCUCACAAAUGUGUCAGAGGGAACACUGUUCACCCCAGGUCAGACUGCAGGCGCCCGGCCCACCACAAGGAGUUGCAAGAGCGCGAUGAGCCAAGUAAAUCCUCCCCGGCCAAACCUACCCCUAUCCCUGAUGAUGCUGGGCCAAUUUCGCACAGCCCUGUGGGGCUUCCAAACACGGACGGUUGUGAUACAGCCUGGGAUCGAUACCGGUUCUGUAGUGAUGCCUUUAGUACUGCAAUGCAGUGCAUUAGGCCACUGUGCCACUCAGGA